GCCACACCACAUUCCAUGGCUGCUGCACUCUCCUCUGUGAUGGCCCACACCCUGUGGAGUGUGCUUCUGUCGGAAUCCGAACAAAUCCACCUCUUACCUAUCACUGCGUCUCUCACUGGAUUUUUGUAAUGAGACAUCAGAGCCUGAGCUUCAUUAGGUCCCGAAGCCAGUCACCAUGGGUUUUGGCUGGGCUCAAGUCCCAGGAGAGAGGAGCUAAAGGACGGGAGGAAAAAACAGUGGGAAAAAUGUGCCCUUCAUAACCUGCUGGAAGAUCUGCUAAACACCUGACCUAUGCUCACAGUUUUCAUUGGCCUGAUCCUUGGCACAAAGAAGAUUAAGGACUGAAGAACCCCCAUCUGCUUGGGCAACAGCUACUAGGGCACCGCAGAUAGUGGAGCCUUCAGGAUACCAUGGUGCACCCGCUGCUGCUUGCCUGCUCGCAGGUGGUUCAAGGAAACAAGAAACAAGAGCUUGUAAAGGAAUUAAGAUUUCAUUAGCCAUAUGUCCUUCCAGCCAUAGGAGCGAGGACUUUCUACCUUAACUGGAGGUCUUCUGGAGUCUGAGACAGCUGCGUGAGCUUUCUGCCAAGUUUGUUUUUGCUGUCCUGGUUUCCAGCACGGGAGAAGGUAUUUGCCCCACUCGAAAUGGCAGUCCACUCCAGCACUCUUGCCUGGAAAAUCCCAUGGAUGGAGGAGCUUGAUAGGCUACAGUCCAUGGGGUCGCAAAGAGUCGGACACAACUGAGUGACUUCAUUUCACUUCCCUCACCCAGGAUACAUGCCUCAUCCAAUCAGCAAAUGACCUGCAAGACCCCGAUCCCAUUCCUUGUACCCUGGGUAUAAAAGUGGACUAAGGACCCCUGUUCAGUGUCGGCUCUCCCUUGAGCUGGCCCGCUGGUCUAACAGUGUCUCCCAUUCUAAUAAACUUUAUUUCCCUCUCAUUCUGUCUCAUGUCUGGAAAUUCUUUUCCAACCCACGCUUGGACCACAACACUGUGGAACAUCACUUCAAGGGCAUCAUACUAGUCAGACCAUAUGAGUACAUAGUGGAAAUACAUUGAUGGCUUUGGUAACAUACGUGUACUCCAGUGGGGAGGAGUUAAGUUUCGAAGCUUAACAAGAAUUUAGGGGCCCACCACCCUUUUAGGUGGCUAGUGGUCUGGGGUGUGCUGGAACAUCUCUUUCAAAGUGAAAGCCAUUAUUGAUUAUUGCACCUCCCAGUCAGUAGCAAUUCCAUGCCUAUUAGUAUUGCUCCAACUAACAUAGUGGGUAACACAAAGACUGCCAGCUUUGAGAGAGGUCCAGAAUAGGAAAAGACUCUGCAUCCAUUCCAGGUUGCAGGGUAAGGAGACUUACUGCUCUAACCAUAUAAUCUGCAAGACACUGUGUCAUUGGACAUAUGCCUGGUGGGAUAAGACACCGUUUCGAGUUUAUGACAAGCUUCAGUGGGGGAUUCAUAAUGCAGAUCUCUUCAGUUCUGAGGCAAAGCCAUGCCAUCUGCAGUAUAAAAUUAUAUGCCUAUUAAAAAAUAACAAGCUGUGCUGUAGAGCCCUGAUACUAGAGCACAUGACCAUGAGACAUCAAAUACCCAUGUCGCCAGAACUACUUUCCUGAGUAUUAUCAAGACUACCAAACCUGAAAGUCAAGUGAGGACAAUAUUAACCUGUCUUAAGAUGGAAGUGUGGUGCCUCUAAGAUAAAGCCCAAGUGGGACCAAUACAGGAAACGCCAGCUCUGUGAGCAGGUAGCCCAGACUCCCGUGUCUUCUACCACUGUUGUACUUGUGCCUUCCUUGGUUUGCACUUAUGGGAGAAUUCCUUAGGACCAGGAAGCAAAGGAGAAUAAAGGCCCAAACUUGGUUCAUGGAUAAAUCAGGUUAGGAAUGUGG
ensembl:lncRNA